UGGGGAAUUUUGGACAAUGGGGGAAACCCUGAUCCAGCCAUCCCGCGUGUGCGAUGAAGGCCUUCGGGUUGUAAAGCACUUUUGGCAGGAAAGAAACGUCGCGGGUUAAUACCCCGCGAAACUGACGGUACCUGCAGAAUAAGCACCGGCUAACUACGUGCCAGCAGCCGCGGUAAUACGUAGGGUGCAAGCGUUAAUCGGAAUUACUGGGCGUAAAGCGUGCGCAGGCGGUUCGGAAAGAAAGAUGUGAAAUCCCAGAGCUUAACUUUGGAACUGCAUUUUUAACUACCGGGCUAGAGUGUGUCAGAGGGAGGUGGAAUUCCGCGUGUAGCAGUGAAAUGCGUAGAUAUGCGGAGGAACACCGAUGGCGAAGGCAGCCUCCUGGGAUAACACUGACGCUCAUGCACGAAAGCGUGGGGAGCAAACAGGAUUAGAUACCCUGGUAGUCCACGCCCUAAACGAUGUCAACUAGCUGUUGGGGGCCUUCGGGCCUUGGUAGCGCAGCUAACGCGUGAAGUUGACCGCCUGGGGAGUACGGUCGCAAGAUUAAAACUCAAAUGAAUUG
rnacentral:rRNA from 1 species